UUUUUUUAUUUUACAAUUAACCUUAAAAAUUGACAUGUAUUUUUUUAAAAUAUAUAUUUUUUAAUAAUUUAUUAUACUCUAUAGGACACUUAUCAAUCUCUUAACCCUACUUAUGGAGUUUAAAAACUCCAAUAACAAUGUACCAAAUAUUUUCUUAUAAAUUUAUGUUUUAUUAGUGAAAUAAACGAUUACAGGUAUUGUAUUUUUUUUUAAAUUAAUAAUUUUGAUGCACUGGUGGUGGAAACUUUUAACUCUACAACUGGAUUAAGAUUUUGUCAUGUUUCCUUAAGUUGUAUUUAAAAUUUUUUAAAAUAAAUAAAUAUGACAUGUGGCAAAAUCUUAACCGCACUUAUGGAGUUAAAAAUUUACAUCACAUGUGCGCCAAAUAAUUACUCAUAAUAUAUUAUCAUGUAAUUUAUGGGUUAAUAUUUGGUAAACUCAAAGUGUUAUGUUUUUUUUAAUAUUUUAUUAAACAUUUCUAUAUGACACUUGUCAACCCAUUGGCCUUACUUGUGGAGUGUAAAAACUUAACUAUUAGUGUACCAAAUAUUUUCCCGUAAUUUAUUGAUAGUGUAUAAAAUUAUACAAUAUUAUUAUAUUAAGGGAUAGUAUUUAAUACAAUUUAUUGAUAGUGUACUUUUUUUUAUUCCUCAAGUAGCUUUAAAAAAUUGACAUAUGUCCCUUUUUUAAUAUUUUACUAUAACCAUGAAGGACAUUUGUCAACUCUCUGACUUUACUCAUGGGGUCUAAAAACUUUAUUAAUUGUGUACCAAAUUAUUUUCAUUAUAUUAAAUAUAACCCUUACCUAAAUAAUAUAAACAAUGGGUGAAUAUGAUAUCCAUUCAAAUUGCAUUAAUAGCUCGCAACAUAUUCGAAAUUUAAAUAUGAGUAUUGUGUUGUUUUAUUUCCCAAAAAAACAGGCGAAUAUUGGGACGUACACGUAUGAUACUAAAAAUAUUGGGUGAAUGAUAGUAUUUCUUUUUCUUUUUCUUUUUUUUUUUUGAGAAAAAAUGGCAAUAUUUAAAAGAGAGACAAAUUGUAUAAAUUAGAUUUUAUUAAGUGCUUAUUUGGUCCUCUAAUUUUAUAUAAAAAAUUAUUUUAACUCUUCAUUUGUUUUUUUUACUUUUUGUAGUCCUUAAAGUUUUUUUUGUCGUCCUUAAACCAAGUUGGUUUGUUUACUUUUGUUUUUUCGUUAAAAAUAUCGCUUUACCUUAAAAAAAUAUUAUGAUUAAACUAAAUACUAAUUAAAAAAGGUAAGGCAUACUGGCAACUUUAGCCCAUAGAUCUUUCAUUUAUUUGUCAAUUUAGUCCUUUUUUUAAUUAAAUUUGACCCUCAAUUUUUUAAAAAGAAUCAAAUUUAAUCAUUAAUCUUUUAAAAAGAAUUGAAUUGAUUUUUUAAUAGAAAUACUAACUAACAUGUUAAAUUUUUAAACAUUGCAGCCCACAUUGCAAUCUAAAUGUACAUCAUGCUAUUUUUUGAAUUUUUAUGAAGCUUUUAUCCUCUCUUUUUUUCUUGAAUAUUUUUGUAACUUUUAAAAUAUUUGUUGACAUGUAUAUAUGACAAACAGUUUCAUGUCAAAAAAGGUGCACGUAGACUACCACACAAGUUGACACAUCAAAAUCAUUAAAGAAUAUUUUAAUCAACAUUUUUAUUAAAAAACAACAUUUAAUUCUUUUUUGAAAGAUUAACAGCUAAAUUUAACUUAAAAUAAUAAUAAUAAUAAUAAUAAUAAUAAUAAUAAUUAAAGUGGAAAAAAACUGUAAAACUAAAUUUAUCACUAUCCCGAAAGUUAAUGCUACAAACUAUCAUACACUCAUCCUUAUUAUUUUUGGAUUUAAAUAGAAGUGCAUCAAUAAACCGAGAUAUUAUUUUGUAGAUUAUUCCUACCACGUCAAUCAUGAUUGAUAUUCAAUAGUCAUGUAAAAAUAUUUUUCCACAUCAACUUCCUCCUUGGCCUAUUACUUUCUUCUUCUUCUUUUUUCUCUUCCUACCUGCAACCUUUGUUCCCCACAUUCUUUUCUUGCGAAGCCAAAACAACUACGAAACAAGUGACGAAGAAGAGUUUGAAGAAGAAGAAAAUGGGUAGGAUGGAGACCCCAUGGCUACCACGCCACUUAUAAGACCCAAGUCGAGAUCUGGUAAUUGGACGUCGAACGACAAUAAUCACUUAACCAGCUCCUUUUUUCACAUUGCUCAUUUGGGGUUUUUUAGUUUUAAAAUUUGUUAAGUAACUAAAUCUUUUGAAUCUGUUGAUUUUGGGAUUUUCUAUUUCUUUUAUGAACAGAUUUAGAGAAUCAAAUGGAGGGAAAUGUUUAUUCCAACAUUAAAAAAUUACUAUUUUUUAAAUAAGAAAAUAUUGCUACUAUUCUUGAAAUUGUAUUUGAAUGUUUGAUUAUUAUGUUCUCUUGUUUGUCCAAAAGGGGAUUUUUAUUUUAUGAAUGCCGUUGAUUAAAACUGUAGGAGAAAGUAACGAUCCGAUUACUUUAGCCAUGUUAGAUGAAGAAAAUAUAUGCUUAAAUGCUUUUUUCAUCAUUUAAAAUCUGGGUAGGCAAGAAGGAAGGUGAGUAAGCCGGCAAUAUAUUUUAGUGAUGUGUAAAAAUAUUCUUACACGGUAAUUCAUUAUUAAUGGUCUAUAUAAUAAUUAUUAAGGAGUUGGAAUGGAUUUUUUUUUAUACCUACAAACGUAAAUAAACCAAGAAAAAAAGUGCGCAUUGCAUGCUUGUAUAUUUCAACAAAAAAAUUAUAUUAUAUCUCCAACAUUAAGCAAGUUCUUCUUCACCUCACAUUUGUUCACCCAUAAUGGGAACAUCGGUGUAUCUUUUAUUGAUAACUGUGAUCCAACCAAAAGAAAAAGUAGGAGAUUGAUAUAUUAGUAGAAUAAGACGUAGCGACAUAUAUGCAUCAUAGUUGAAAGGGAUACAGGGAAACCAUACGUAUAACAAAAAGCAAAGAAACAGAUAAGAGUCCACAAAAGUAGCAACCUUUACGAUUCGAAUAAUGAAUAGGGCGUUUAUUGUCAUAGAUAGGUUGAUAAACAUCAACCUAUCUACAGUAAGGGCUAUUACCCUUACAAUUUUUGUUAUGAUUAUCUGGGUUUGGUGGUGGAAGACAAUUCGAAUAACUAGGACCGCAGUCCUUUUGCUUUACCGCUGGCUUAUCCUUUGUAAGCGUGCUGUAUAUUUUACCGACAGUUUUAUCGACCCCGAGGAUUCUGAUAACGGUAGAAUCUAUCAUCAACAAAUCCAGCUCCGACUCCAAUUCUUCCCGGAUCCCGCAGCCGCCGAGAAAGCCAUUGCACUGGUAAGUGGCGUUGCUCCUCAGUACUAGGACGGCGUCUCUGCCGCUAAUUGGUUUUAGGAGAAUCAUCAUCAUCACUAACCCCACCAACUCACGAAACCCCAUUUUCUUUUUCCUUUGUUUCCCCUCGCCCUGGAAUGGGAAAGCGCGGCCUGCUCACUUUAUAGAGGGUAGAGGAAAGAUUAAUUAAUUAUUGGAGGCUAAUAUAUUUAACAAGUCCUUGAACUUUAUUACUUUAUUUUAAUAAGCCCUCAUACUUUUGUUCCAUCCAAAUAAACCUUUAGAUUUCAAUUAGUACCUAAAUUUAGUCACUUUAUUUAAAUAGGCUUUUAUACUUUC
rnacentral:lncRNA from 1 species